UCUCUUUCUCUCUCCCUCUCUCUCUCCAUGGGUUCUGUUUUUAUCAGUGAUCUAAGUCUCACACAUAGGAACCUUGUUAGGUGGGGGGUUAGCUGUUUGAACCUGCUGCUGUCGAGGGACCUACAGUGUUGAGACAAAAGGGAAAGUCACGCAGAGGUUUGGGAGAGGACCCUGAGAAAGCAGAUACCUACCUACAAGACAAAGGGAGAAGACCAGAAAAACAAUAAGAAACAACAACGAAAACCUGGAUAUAGCUUGAUUUCAGAAACCCUGCACUCAGAACUGUGUGAACAAAUCUCUGCUGCUUAAGCCACCCGGUUACAGCACUCUCAGUAACCAAACACAACCUUGCCAGUCUGACAAACAAAAGAAAUUUCUAUAAGGAUGAUAUCAGAUUAUGAAGAGAGGCUCCCACAGCAGGAACCAGCAGACAGAACCAGUAAACAGUUCCUGAAAUGGUUACAAUAAAUAACUGGAACAAGCAGGAGUACUAACGUGGAUGUGAGAAGAAGCCAAGUAGAAGUUCACAAAUGAAGAUUCUGUGCCUUUGUAUGUAAAGCUAUGGUAAAGUAGAUGUUAGAGGAAACAGGAGGAUGAACUAGAAGUUCCAGUAACAUAAGGAAGGCUGUGUGGAGAUUUAUGGUAGAAGAGAUGGCAUCGUGGCUCAGCAGAGAUGGAAAUUUUAUCAAACACCACUGUGCAAAUGGUUGUCAAUGGAAGACAGAAAAUGUGACUCUCACUUUACAUGAACACAAAAUCCAAGACAGAACGAAACCAAAAAAAGGGACAAACAAAACUUCAACCUUUUAGGGGAAAUGGUAGGAAGCUAUUGUGCCAGGAUGCUAAGGAAGUCUUUAUGGAAUCAGAGAGGAUCACCAGGAAAAGGGUCAUUGUGUUACCUCAGGCAGAGUAGUGGAGCCGGACAUGCACCUUAUAGCAGGUAAAAGCUAAUCUCCGUGGUACAGGCUCAGAUAUGUACUGAAAGUAUAGCACUUUCAUUUUUACGUAGUUUUAGGCUAGCUGUCCAAAUCUUUGGUUUCAUUUUGACAUUUUCAUUCAUGGGCAUCACAUUGUCUGCUUCCUCCCACAUGCCAUACUAUAUAUUGAACAUCGAGAAGAAAAAAAAAAAGAGUAAACUUAUUAUCUUAAAUUAAGCAACAGUUCUUUAAACAUAGCAUCAAAAGCACAAAUGUGAAUGAAAAACAAGAUAAAUUAGACUCUGAAAAUUGGUUCAUUAAAGUGCAGUAACAUAAAAAGACAAAGAUAACUUGAAACCAUAUCUAAUAAUGUACUAGUAUCCAUGAUGAACAGAGAUAAUUAAAUUAAAAGUAAGCAAAGGGUUUGAAUUAAUAUUUAGUCACAAAGACAUACUGAUGGCCACUAGGCUCAUGAAGAUAUGGUCGGCAUAGCUAGAUAAAUGAACAUCAAAGCCACCAUAACACAGUACAUCAUCUCAUAUCCACUAGAAUGGCUUUGAUUAGAAAAGAGGGUCAGUUGGAAUGCCGAAGAGUACAUGUCAAAAUUAGAAUCUUCAUUCACGGCUGGUGCGGAUGCCAAAUGGUUCAGCUGCUGCUCUGGUGUGCUUUCCUCCAACAUGACAUGACUGUUGCCUUCUUGAACACUCAGCAGCUGUGAAUGCCUAAUUGAGAUCCUCAAAAGACUGGGCUCAAUAACAUUCAGUAAUGGGGUAAGGGGCUCAUACAGCCCCACCUUUUCAUGAUGACAUAUAAGUAACUCACACAGGCUGGCUGCUGGGACAGGGACUUCUCUUGGGUUGUGUAGCUGUUUCUGAUUUGUCCAUGUUUCUGUAGGUACCUCCUCACACAUGCUUAUGUAAGUAAUCACAAUUAAAUUCAUUAAUUUACCAAGA
rnacentral:lncRNA from 1 species